GAUGAACGCUGGCGGCGUGCCUAAUACAUGCAAGUCGAGCGAACGGACGAGAAGCUUGCUUCUCUGAUGUUAGCGGCGGACGGGUGAGUAACACGUGGAUAACCUACCUAUAAGACUGGGAUAACUUCGGGAAACCGUAGCUAAUACCAGAUAAUAUUUUGAACCGCAUGGUUCAAAAGUGAAAGACGGUCUUGCUGUCACUUAUAGAUGGAUCCGCGCUGCAUUAGCUAGUUGGUAAGGUAACGGCUUACCAAGGCAACGAUGCAUAGCCGACCUGAGAGGGUGAUCGGCCACACUGGAACUGAGGCACGGUCCAGACUCCUACGGGAGGCAGCAGUAGGGAAUCUUCCGCAAUGGGCGAAAGCCUGACGGAGCAACGCCGCGUGAGUGAUGAAGGUCUUCGGAUCGUAAAACUCUGUUAUUAGGGAAGAACAUAUGUGUAAGUAACUGUGCACAUCUUGACGGUACCUAAUCAGAAAGCCACGGCUAACUACGUG
rnacentral:rRNA from 1 species